AUUGAACGCUGGCGGCAGGCCUAACACAUGCAAGUCGAGCGGAGCGGCGGACGGGUGAGUAAUGCCUAGGAAUCUGCCUGGUCGUGGGGGAUAACGUUCGGAAACGGGCGCUAAUACCGCAUACUAUCAGAUGAGCCUAGGGCGGAUUGGCUAGUGGGUGGGGUAAAGGCCUACAAGGGCGACGAUCCGUAACUGGUCUGAGAGGAUGAUCAGUCACACUGGAACUGAGACACGGUCCAGACGCCUACGGGAGGCAGCAGUGGGGAAUAUUGGACAAUGGGCGAAAGCCUGAUCCAGCCAUGCCGCGUGUGUGAAGAAGGUCUUCGGAUUGUAAAGCACUUUAAGUUGGGAGGCGGUACCAACAGAAUAAGCACCGGCUAACUCCGUGCCAGCCGCCGCGGUAAUAC
rnacentral:rRNA from 1 species